rnacentral:rRNA from 1 species
GAUGAACGCUGGCGGCGUGCCUAAUACAUGCAAGUCGAGCGAACAGAUGAGGAGCUUGCUCCUCUGACGUUAGCGGCGGACGGGUGAGUAACACGUGGAUAACCUACCUAUAAGACUGGGAUAACUUCGGGAAACCGGAGCUAAUACCGGAUAAUAUAUUGAACCGCAUGGUUCAAUAGUGAAAGACGGUUUUGCUGUCACUUAUAGAUGGAUCCGCGCCGCAUUAGCUAGUUGGUAAGGUAACGGCUUACCAAGGCGAUGAUGCGUAGCCGACCUGAGAGGGGGUACGGCCCCACUGGAGCUGAGCCGCGGCCCAGGCUCCGACGGGCGGCAGAGGUAGGGAAUCUUCGGAAAUGGGCGAAAGCCUGACGGAGCAACGCCGCGUGAGUGAUGAAGGUCUUCGGGUCGUAAAACUCUGUUAUUAGGGAAGACCAAAUGUGUAAGUAACGAUGCGCGUCUUGACGGUACCGAUUCAGAAGACCCCGGCGAACUCCGU